rnacentral:lncRNA from 1 species
ACCAACCAUUUCUUAUUACAAGAAACAUCAUAAAAUAUAUGUAGUGUUUGAAACAUGUAAGUCCAAGCGGUGCUUCAAUUUGUUACUAAUGAGUAAGUUGGUCAAUACAUCAACUAUAUUUUCUAAAGUAUGAACUUUUUCAUGUAAUAUGUAUCAAGGUGUAAGUAAAUCUCUAAUGUGUGAUACCUCACAUCAAUAUGUUUGGUUUGGGCAUCAUACACCUCAAUGUUUGCCAAAUAAAUGGCACAUUGACUAUCACAUUUCAAUUGAACUCCACAUUGUUUAACACCCAAUUUUCUCGCCCUUUGCCUAGCUUGUGUCUAUAUACAAGUUAUACUCAACAUAAAUGAUAAACCAUUUACAAUACUCCCUUCGUCUCAAAUUGUAUGUCGCUUUAGGGAAAUUUUUGUAUCCCAAAUUAUAUGUCGCUUUACAAUACUAAUGCAACAUUAAUGUUACUUUUCCUAUUAUAACCUUAGCUAUUUAUUACUCUUCUUUCAAUUCUUUCAUUUAUCUUUCUCAUAUUAUUUAUUAAGAACAAUUUUGUAAAACAACUCAUAAUAUCUCUUUUCCACAGAAUAUUAAUUGCAUUUCUUAAUAUGUGCGGAAUGCCUAAAACGUCAUAUAAUUUGGGACGGAGGGAGUAUCAUUAAUUAAUUUUUAUAAAAGAAUUUUAAAAAAUUACUAUCAUUUGAAAAAUAUAAAGCAUGUAUCUAAUUGUGUCAUACAUGUCACACAUCCAUAACCUAAAUGGAGCAUUAGAUAAAUGAAGCAUACCUUUUUUUGCUUCAUUUAUCUAAUGCUCCAUUUAGGUUAUGGAUGUGUGACAUGUGGCAAAAAAAGAUCUUAGGAUUGAGAUUUAUAAUAAAAAAACAAAUAUUUAUUUGAUAAAAAAAGUAACAAAACAAAACGUGUCCUUCUGCUCCCCUUCCUCUCAUUGCCAUAAACCUCCUCCACCCGUUGCCGUUCGUCGCCGUUGAUCGCCUUAUUAACAACAUCUCCCCUCUUCCACUCAUCGUCGUCAUGUUGCCGUUGUUUCAAACCAUUGCUGUUGAUGUUAUUGAUUUUCAACUUGGUUUUGCAGCCUUCUCAAAACUGCAAUUCUUUCUUGUUUCAAUUCUGAUUUGGUUUCUUUGCUGGUUUUUGUGUUGACAAUUGGAUUAUUUAAGGAGAUAAUCAUCCAACGAAAUAUGUUUCAGCCAAAAAGGACAGAUUGAAGGAAACGGGGAAACAAAUCUUGAAACAGUGGUAUACGCCAGUGGCGCGGAGACCAUAGUGAGAGGAGAGAGACGAUGAAAGGAUAAGGAAACGACAGUGAUUGGUGGCGAUAGGUCAUGAAACGAGAGGGAAGGAGGAAACACGUAAAGGAGGAGAGCAUAAAUUUGUUUUUUAUUAUAAAUCUCAACCUUAAGAUAUUUUUUUGCCAUAUGUCACACAUUCAUAGCCUAAAUUGACUAAUAUAGUAACUAGUAAUUGGGUGAAUGAAAGUGUAACUUGUGUGUGACGUUGAGUAACGCUUAUAUAGCCAAGGAGUUCGAUAACUACCUAUGUAUUACGCGACGUAAAUCCUGAACGCCAUUAGAGAUGACUAUGACUCUAGGAUAUGAUCAUGGCGCGCUACUGUGCGGCAAGGGCCACAAGGCUUCAUGUGCACCUUCACGGUGCUUCUUUUUGAAUAGCAUGGACCUUGGCUUUAUUAGUUCGUUUGCAAUGGGCUUUCUGCUAUUCCGGAAUAAUAACCAUAAAAAUGGGUUGAGAAAGAACGAAUGGGAAAGGCACAGAUUGAGAUUUGGAGGAUUGUUAUUUCUACUUACUAUCAAUCGCCCUGAAUGAAGGUAAGAUUUUAAGUGUAUUUAUUAUGUGAAAAUAAUAGAUUUUAAAAUCUUUGAAAUCAUGAUAGUUUUCUUGAAUGCAAACAUGAUUCUGAAAAUUAUAAUUUACAAUGUGGUUUUCAAAAAUUAAAUUACCCACCACUAGAAGAGAGAUGGAGAGACAUGGUAUCUUUACACAAAACUUGAAGACAUAAGAUAUAUGAGUCACACCCUUAUACAAUCAACAUUUAUCCCAUUAUUUUUUGGGUCAAGUUAACUUAUGGCAUUAGGGCACAUGUUAAGGAGUUUAAAAUUGAAAUUAAAAAAAAAAUUAUAUUGAAAGUAUAACUUUUGGAACUUUUAAGAUAUUGAAUGCACAAGUUUCAAAAAAAACCUUCUACGUUUGACUUCUUACCUUAUGCACAAAGGGCAUAAGUUAACCUUUCCCUUUUUUUUAACAUAUUUCUGACAAACCACUCACACUUAAACAUAAUAGAGAAUUGAUGUUGACACUUAAAUUAUUAUUUUGUUUAGUAGUUAGUAAUAUAUAUAUAUAUAUAUAUAUAUAUAUAUAUAUAUAUAUAUAUAUAUAUAUAUAUAUAUUGAAUUCGCUUUGAUUAAUUCAAUUGAAAAGAUAUUUUUAAAUAACUUUGAUUAUAAAUGAAUAUUUUGCAACAAAAAAUGCAAGAAGAAAAAUAUUUGAAUAAUUAAAAGGAUAUAAUUUAUAGUUUUAUCCAGGGCACCAAAAAUCUUCGGGCUGACCCUGAACCCAAGCUCACGGGUUUUUAACUGGUUUCUAAUCAAAUCUAUACAAUUUAGUCAUCUCAUGGUAUCAUUUAUUUAUGUUAAUCAUGGUAAGCUGCUAAUGCACAAUGAAAUCUUACAUGAAAGCUCUCAACGAAGCUUGUUUUUUAUUUUUCUAUUUUCUAUCCAACCAAUUUAUUGUAUUUUACUAUUUCCCACCUAACAAACAAAAUAGGAUCUCUAACUCAAAGCGUGUGUUUCAUUUGUUUAUGAUACUAUGAGAUGCAGCCACGAAGCAAAAAGUAAUUAAACAACUUCAAUGAUUGCAAAACUUUUACUAUUAUUUGACCGAUUCACUCUUUUGUACGUUGUGAAGGAUUCAAACUAACAUUCACACGGUUACUAAUACUUUUGAAGAAAAACAAACAUUUUUUCAAUUGACUAGUUGACUUGACGGUCUUUAAAGUCUUCCUAUCAACCUUAUAUAUAUAGUUACCAAUUCUCAUCUUUACUUCAUCACCACUUCAUUGCUAAAAAACACUUCACUCAAAACUUGCUCCUCUAUAAUUCCUUUGCACUUGUCAUCUAUAAUUCUUAAUCAGCUCGCACAAACUCCAACAACUAUGAAGGUCAGAAUUUGAAUCUUGAAAUUCUUUUUUCUUCUUCAUUUUUCUCAUUUAAUUUACUAUGUUUUCAUGCAUGAAUUAUGUUGUUGUUGUCCCUUUUUUGCAUCCUUUUAUAUUUUAGAAUGGUAGUAAUAAUUGCUGGAUUUUAAUUCUUUGAUUUACUUUUUGUUAACAGAAAGUGUUGUUGAAAGUGGACUUUUAUAAUGAUAGAAUCAAGCAAAAAGUUAUGAAGACAGCAUCUAGCCUUCCAGGUAUAUAUAUAUUGAAUUUCAUAUAUCAUAUAAGUACCACUGCUAUGUAACGUGGCUAAAUUACAUGACUAGUAAGUUACAGAGCGAAAUGACCAAAAAUUUUUAGAGGUGGUUAACUACCGUUGGCAUAUAAUUAAAAAAUCGGCUAAACAUAUCAAAUGUUGCGGUAAUCUUUUAUCAUCUUCACUUACGAUACCAUCAUGAUUGAUUUUAAUUUUUGAAGAUAUAAUAUGACUCUAAGUUACAUUAAUUUGAUAAGGUCCAUUUCUAACACAAUCUAACUUUAUUAAAAAAAAAUUAAAUAAGGCAAAAUUAUUAUUAAUAUCGAUGACAGUCACAGUUAUUUUACAACUAUUUCAAAUAGUAUUUGAACUUCGUCAUUCAAGAAUGAAAACUAAUUUAAUUUGACCUUUGUGUAAAUAAAAAGACAAACCAUCUAACACAAAUGAUUCAUUUUUUUCUUAUUAUUUUGCAGGGUUUGAAUCAUUAUCAAUAGACUCGAAAGAGAAGAAAUUGACAGUAUCUGGGGAUAUUGAUCCAGUAAAGGUAGUGUGCAAGCUAAGAAAGUUGUGUCAAACUGAAAUAGUAUCGAUUGGACCUCUAAAAGAUGAGAAGAAGGAUUCAACAAAUACAAAUGAAGUUAUUCCACUUCAACACUUUGGAACCUAUCCAUUUUAUUAUCAGAUGACCCCACCACAAUAUUUUCAAAAUUACUACUACGUUUGAUGUGCAUAAUAAGAAAAGAAUCUUUUAUUGAGUUUGAUAAAAUACAUCUUGUGUUUUCCUUGAAUUUUAUUUUUACUUUAUAUGACCUAGAAUUGGAUUAUGCUUGUCUUCCUUCCAAAUCAUGCAAACAGAUCACUAAGAAAUUAAGCGUCACCACCAACCAUUUCUUAUUACAAGAAACAUCAUAAAUAUAUUAAUAAGAUAAAAUAUAUGUAGUGUUUGAAACAUGUAAGUCCAAGCGGUGCUUCAAUUUGUUACUAAUGAGUAACUUGGUCAAUACAUCAACUAUAUUUUCUAAAGUAUGAACUUUUUCAUGUAAUAUCUAUCAAGGUGUAAGUAAAUCUCUAAUGUGUGAUACCUCACAUCAAUAUGUUUGGUUUGGGUAUCCAUACACCUCAAUGUUUGCCAAAUAAAUGGCACAUUGACUAUCACAUUACAAUCAAACUCCACAUUGUUUAACACCCAAUUUUCUCGCCCUUUGCAUCGCUUGUCUCUAUAUAUAAGUUAUACUCAACAUAAAUGAUAAACAAUUUACAACUAGUAUAAUGACCCGUGCCAGCACGGGAAGUAAAAAACUUUUUUGAUCAUAUGUAUAGAUUUUAUAUUAUGUUAUCUUAAAGUUAUAAUUGUCGUUAUAAUUUAAAUUCGAUAUGAAAAAAAUAUCAUCUUAAUUUUGUAUAUAUUUUGAAAUAUCUAAACUUUGCAUAUAUCGAUUAAAUUAUUUGGAUUAUUAUACUUGUACUAAUUAUUUGUAGUAUAAGAUGCACUCAUUGUUAUACUUAGCAUAUGUAAUAUUUUUGCAAAAAUAUGCCGACGUACUGUAUAAUAAUAUUUGUUGACAAAAUGUAUUUUAUUAAUCAUAAAAACUAAAAAAUAUGUAUUUUUUUAUAUAUAAUAGUCAGUAUCAUAUGCAUACACGUAGUCGGCAAAUGCAAAUGUUUAAUUUUUUUACGGGUGUGCAUAAAUAUAGUUUGGGCUACAGAAACGCCGAUUGUUAUUUGUUUUUCAUUUUUACAAAACAAAUGGUCUAAUGUAAAUAUUGUAUUUUAGCGUAACAACGAUGUAAAAAAAAAAGGUUCCGCGGAUUGUUAAACUUGAAAAAUGCAUGAAUUAAUAGUCAAUGGCAGGAGGAUCU